ACCCUAAUGUAACUACACCCAAACGGUGCCCCCCCCUCUUCACACGCUUCUGCCCGUCACCAACACCCCAAAACCCGCCGGAAAAGUCAAUUUUCCGGCAUUCCACUUAAGCCCUGGUCCCCCCUCAUCAUUAUAACCCGAUUCUACGCGUUUUUCUCUCAUCACACAUGCUUUUCGCAAUUGUUUGAAGAAUCUGGGUCAUUCAAUGAAUGAUAGUUUAAUGGGGGCCGUAAGAUCGAAAUCUUUGGAUUCUAGGCGUCCAUUUGCCUAAAAUCCAUUUGUACGACAGGUUUUUUGGAAUUUUGGAGUUUUUUUCUAAUUUGGAGAUAAAAAAUCGAUUUCUUGGUGAAGAAGCAUAGGAGGUUCGAGACCCCCUAUAUAUUGGGAUGAUUUCUCAGAUUUUGGGUUCGAGAGGAGACAAAAAUUUGGAAAAAAAAAACUUGGAGAAAAAUUAGGGUUCCUUUGAGUUUUCAGAUUUUUACGUUUGGUUUGAAUUCCAGAAAAACAAAAAAAAAUAAAAAAAAUAGUUUCGGUCUAGACUCUUGGUCAAAUUUUGUUUCUAGAUUUCGAAAUCAGGAAAAUACCAAAAAAAAUACAAUAUAGUUCUGCCUUCCUCAGUUUUAAUUUCGGAUUUGGAAUUCAACUAUGGAGUUUGAUCGAGGUUUGCCGUGGAGUUGAAGCAGCCGUCCGAGAUCUGUUCGUAGUUCGCAGUCACGUUCGAUUUCUGUGGUGAUUUUAUCUUUUAGAGUUGGUCGUGUACUCGCUGUUUUGUCCGACGUUGUUAAAGUGAUUCUUCUCCAACAGGUAUGGACCCGCUGAUUCGAUCCAAAGUGCUGAUGGUAGUAAAGAUUCCUAGGAAAUUAAGCAAGUGGUGGAAAAUGUUUUCGUUGUUAGAGCAGCAUGAGUUAAUGCAGAAAUUGGGCACCCUCACUUCCCUUCUUGAUAUCACACCUUUCCCAGACUUAGCGGAGGCGAUGCUGACUUAUUGGGAUUCACAAAAUUUGAUUUUCAGAUUUGAAGAGUGUGAGAUGACCCCUACCUUGGCAAAAAUGUCUAGUCUCACUCGUUUAAACUAUAUAGGCAAGGACAUGAUACUUCCCUGAGACCAUUCUAGGACAAGAUUCCUCAGCGACCUGGGCCUGAAAGAUAACAAACAUUUAAAAUGCCUCGAGCAGUCCUGGAUAUCCUUGGA